GAUGAACGCUGGCGGCGUGCCUAAUACAUGCAAGUCGAGCGAACAGACGAGGAGCUUGCUCCUCUGACGUUAGCGGCGGACGGGUGAGUAACACGUGGAUACCUACCUAUAAGACCGGGAUAAAUUCGGGAAACCGGAGCUAAUACCGGAUAAUAUAUUGAACCGCAUGGUUUAAUAGUGAAAGACGGUUUUGCCUUUACCUAUAGAUGGAUUCGCGCCGCAUUAGCUAGUUGGUAAGGUAACGGCUUACCAAGGCAACGAUGCGUAGCCGACCUGAGAGGGUGAUCGGCCACACUGGAACUGAGACACGGUCCAGACUCCUACGGGAGGCAGCAGUAGGGAAUCUUCCGCAAUGGGCGAAAGCCUGACGGAGCAACGCCGCGUGAGUGAUGAAGGUCUUCGGAUCGUAAAACUCUGUUAUUAGGGAAGAACAAAUGUGUAAGUAACUAUGCACGUCUUGACGGUACCUAAUCAGAAAGCCACGGCUAACUACGUG
rnacentral:rRNA from 1 species